AUUGAACGCUGGCGGCAGGCCUAACACAUGCAAGUCGAGCGGAUGAAGGGAGCUUGCUCCUGGAUUCAGUGGCGGACGGGUGAGUAAUGCCUAGGAAUCUGCCUGGUAGUGGGGGAUAAGGUAAGGUAGGGGGCGCUGAUAUAGCAUACGUCCUGAGGGUGAAAGGGGGGGAUCUUCGGAGCUCACGGUAUUAGAUGAGACUAGGUCGGAUUAGCUAGUUGGUGAGGUAAAGGCCUACCAAGGCGACGAUCCGUAACUGGUCUGAGAGGAUGAUCAGUCACACUGGAACUGAGACACGGUCCAGACUCCUACGGGAGGCAGCAGUGGGGAAUAUUGGACAAUGGGCGAAAGCCUGAUCCAGCCAUGCCGCGUGUGUGAUGAAGGUCUUCGGGUUGUAAAGCACUUUAAGUUGGGAGGAAGGGCAGUAAGUUAAUCCCUUGCUGUUUUGACGUUACCAACAGAAUAAGCACCGGCUAACUUCGUG
rnacentral:rRNA from 1 species